rfam:Triticum aestivum genome assembly, contig: Triticum_aestivum_CS42_TGACv1_scaffold_433505_5DL
UAGCUACUCCCUCCGUUUCAAAUUACUUGUCGCAAUUAUGGAUGUUUUUAGAUGUAUUUUAGUUCUAGAUACAUCCAUUUCUGCAACGAGUAAUUUGGAACGGAGGGAGUACAUG